rnacentral:lncRNA from 1 species
CGGGGACAUUUUGGGGUCGCAGCGAAGAUUCGGAGAUGUUGGGGACGCUUUGGGGACAUUUGGGGACAAGGUGAAGGUGUGGAGAUGUCGGGGACGUUUUGGGGACAUUUGGGGACGUUUUGGGGUCAUGUGGGGACGUUGGAGGAAGCUUGGGGACUUUUUGGGGUCAUGCAGGGACGUUUUGGGGUCAUUUGGGGACGUUUUAGGGAUGUUUUGGGGUCAUUUGGGGACAUUUGGGGGACAUUUUGGGGACAUUGGUGGAACUUUGGUGACGUUGAAGGGACAUCUGCAGACAUUUGGGGACUUUUGGGGACAUUUUGGGGUCAUUUGGGGAUGUUGAGGGAAGUUUGGGGAUGUUUUGGGGUCAUUUGGGGACAUUUUGGGGACACAUGGGGACAUUUCGGGGCCCUUUGUGGACACGUGGGGACAUUUUGGGGUCAUUUGGGGACGUUUUGGGGACAUUGGAAGAAGUUUGGGGACGUUUUGGGGUCUUGUGGGGACGUUUGGGGGACGUUUUGGGGUCAUUUGGGGACGUUGGAGGAAGUUUGGGGACGUUUUGGGGAUGUUUGGGGACAUUGGAGGAAGUUUGGGGACGUUUUGGGGUCAUGUGGGGACAUUUUGGGGACAUUUGGGGACGUUUUGGGGACCUUUGGGGACGUUGAGGGAAGUUUGGGGAUGUUUUGCGGUCAUUUGGGGACAUUUUGGGGACACAUGGGGACAUUUCGGGGCCCUUUGUGGACGCGUGGUGACAUUUGGGGUCACCCUGGUGACAUUUUGGGGACAGGGCGAAGACCUGAAGACGUCGGGGACAUUUUGGGGUCGCAGCGAAAAUUCGGAGAUGUUGGG